GUUGUAAUUGUAAUACUCACUCUGGUCUUUUUAUGACAUUGAAUUUUGGAUCUAUAUUUGACCGGGAUUUAAUGCAUUAAAUUUAACGUAGAGAGGAUGGAUAGAAAUUACACUUGAUUUUGAGGGCCAGUAAAUAGAAAGAUGAUAGAUGAAACGUGGACCAUCCGAUUUGAUAUAAAUAAUUUCAGCUAUUGGAUUUGUCUGAUGAGUAAAUCAUUCUCAUCAAGUUUGUGCACGGUAAGGUAGAUGGUGGUGGUCAGCGGAGGUGGUGGCGACGGCGGCGAGUUGCUGGAGGUUGAGCUUGACGACGGUGUCGGUGAACAUGCGGGUG
rnacentral:lncRNA from 1 species